GUUUUGAUUUUAGCUUCCCUAGUAUGUCCUUGCCUAACCUUUCCCUGUCUGUGCAUGUAGGAAAGUUCAGUUGAGGAAGACACUGAAACAGGUUUAGCUCUUUGGAGCUAAUAGCUCAUGGCAUGCUGUUUCUGGGCAGCCGUCCCCAUUAUCAGAACUCAGGACAGUAGCAUCAACAGUGGUCAUCCUCAUCUUACCUAUCUGCUGCCUGUUUUCUAUCCUUGUUUCUGAAUAGUCCCCUGCUGGAACAAGUUGCCCCCACCUGCCCUUUUUCCCUCGUGGUGCAUCUGUGAUCAAAAGGUUCUGACUGAAGAAUGAAAAAUGUGCUAGGUGGAAUCUUUUCUUUUUUAAACUGGCUUACCCCUUUUCCCGCCCUUUUUCAAUUUUAUAGGGAAAAAACCCAUAGAGGAUCCAGCAAACGAUACAGUGGAUUUCCCUAAAAGAACGAGUCCAGCUCGAGGCUAUGAGCUCUUAUUUCAGCCAGAGGUGGUUCGGAUAUACAUCUCACUUCUUAAGGAGAGCAAGACUCCUGCCAUCCUAGAAGCCUCAGCUGGAGCUAUCCAGAACUUGUGUGCUGGGCGCUGGACGGUACCUUUUAGAAAAUGAGUUUGGAGAUGGGAAAACUUAGAUAACUAGUUUGCUGCCAUUUGUAAUUUCUUCCACCCCUUUCUAUGUGCUAUUCUAGUAUGGUCGAUACAUCCGCUCUGCUCUGCGUCAAGAGAAGGCUCUUUCUGCCAUAGCUGACCUCCUGACUAAUGAACAUGAACGGGUGGUGAAAGCUGCAUCUGGAGCACUGAGAAACCUGGCUGUGGAUGCUCGCAACAAAGAAUU
rnacentral:sRNA from 1 species